AGUGAGUAAAAUGGUGUGUGGUUUUGUUAAUUUAGAAUUAAAUGUCUAACGACGUUAUGUUGUAACUUGGAGAAAAUUGUUGUUAUAUUAGCGAUGUUUACGAAACCGAACGAGUGGGAUUAUUCAACCUACGUUUGUCACAUUCAUAUGACCAAUUACGAAAAACAAUAAGAAUUGCAAAGUACUAUAGAAAGAGAAGGUUGGAUAUUUCCAGUUUAUUACACUUUUGCAAGCGGCUGAAAGAAAAAAUAGUGUAGUUCUAUCAUCUAUUUUUCUUUGCUUCCGUUGUCAAUGGCAUCAACAACAAAAAGGUCAUGGAAAUUACAAGAGUUCAUGGCCCAUGGAGCCAGUGUUCGUUGCUUAGCCUUUGGAAAAAAAUCUGGCCGGGUCAUGGUCACUGGAGGAGAGGACAAAAAGGUCAAUCUGUGGGCAGUAGGAAAACCAAACUGUAUAAUGGUAAAACUUUUUUAUUAUUAUUAUUAUAUUAUGUAUGUAUGUGUGAUGAAUAAUACAGUGUUAUUAACUGUUAUACAAUGUAGAUGUAAGGCUAGCUGGGCUACAUCAUUGUCAUCUCACGGACUCUUGAUACCGGGUUAAUAAAGGUGAACUUUCAUGUUAGAUUAAAUAGUCUAAAAUAGUAAAGGGUUUA